rnacentral:rRNA from 1 species
UUAGCGGCGGACGGGUGAGUAACACGUGGAUAACCUACCUAUAAGACUGGGAUAACUUCGGGAAACCGGAGCUAAUACCGGAUAAUAUAUUGAACCGCAUGGUUCAAUAGUGAAAGACGGUUUUGCUGUCACUUAUAGAUGGAUCCGCGCCGCAUUAGCUAGUUGGUAAGGUAACAGCUUACCAAGGCAACGAUGCGUAGCCGACCUGAGAGGGUGAUCGGCCACACUGGAACUGAGACACGGUCCAGACUCCUACGGGAGGCAGCAGUAGGGAAUCUUCCGCAAUGGGCGAAAGCCUGACGGAGCAACGCCGCGUGAGUGAUGAAGGUCUUCGGAUCGUAAAACUCUGUUAUUAGGGAAGAACAAAUGUGUAAGUAACUAUGCACGUCUUGACGGUACCUAAUCAGAAAGCCACGGCUAACUACGUGCCAGCAGCCGCGGUAAUACGUAGGUGGCAAGCGUUAUCCGGAAUUAUUGGGCGUAAAGCGCGCGUAUGCGGUUUUUUAAGUCUGAUGUGAAAGCCCACGGCUCAACCGUGGAGGGUCAUUGGAAACUGGAAAACUUGAGUGCAGAAGAGGAAAGUGGAAUUCCAUGUGUAGCGGUGAAAUGCGCAGAGAUAUGGAGGAACACCAGUGGCGAAGGCGACUUUCUGGU